AGUGAACGCUGGCGGUAGGCCUAACACAUGCAAGUCGAACGGCAGCACAGUAAGAGCUUGCUCUUACGGGUGGCGAGUGGCGGACGGGUGAGGAAUACAUCGGAAUCUACUUUUUCGUGGGGGAUAACGUAGGGAAACUUACGCUAAUACCGCAUACGACCUACGGGUGAAGGCAGGGGAUCUUCGGACCUUGCGCGAUUGAAUGAGCCGAUGUCGGAUUAGCUAGUUGGCGGGGUAAAGGCCCACCAAGGCGACGAUCCGUAGCUGGUCUGAGAGGAUGAUCAGCCACACUGGAACUGAGACACGGUCCAGACUCCUACGGGAGGCAGCAGUGGGGAAUAUUGGACAAUGGGCGCAAGCCUGAUCCAGCCAUACCGCGUGGGUGAAGAAGGCCUUCGGGUUGUAAAGCCCUUUUGUUGGGAAAGAAAAGCAGCAGGUUAAUACCCCGCUGUUCUGACGGUACCCAAAGAAUAAGCACCGGCUAACUUCG
rnacentral:rRNA from 1 species